UGCCGGAGGCGAUUGCUAUUGGAGUCCGAUUUAGCCAUGCUAGUUGCACGAGUUCAGACUCGUAGCAGAUAGCUCAGUAACACGUGGCCAAACUACCCUCUGGAGGGGACCAACCUCGGGAAACUGAGGCUAAUUCCCCAUACCGCUCGACGCCUGGAACUGCGCGAGCCCGAAACGCUCCGGCGCCAGAGGAUGUGGCUGCGGCCGAUUAGGUAGACGGUGGGGUAACGGCCCACCGUGCCAGUAAUCGGUACGGGUUGUGAGAGCAAGAGCCCGGAGACGGUAUCUGAGACAAGAUACCGGGCCAUACGGGGCGCAGCAGGCGCGAAACCUUUACACUGCACGCCAGUGCGAUAAGGGGACUCCAAGUGCGAGGGCAUAGAGCCCUCGCUUUUCUGCACCGUAAGGUGGUGCAGGAACAAGUGCUGGGCAAGACCGGUGCCAGCCGCCGCGGUAAUACCGGCAGCACGAGUGAUGGCCGCUCUUAUUGGGCCUAAAGCGUCCGUAGCUGGCCAGGCAAGUCCAUCGGGAAAUCUCCCCGCCUAACGGGGAGGCGUCCGGUGGAAACUGCCUGGCUUGGGACCGGAAGAUCCAGAGGGUACGUCCGGGGUAGGAGUGAAAUCCCGUAAUCCUGGACGGACCGCCGGUGGCGAAAGCGCUCUGGAAAGACGGAUCCGACGGUGAGGGACGAAAGCUCGGGUCACGAACCGGAUUAGAUACCCGGGUAGUCCGAGCUGUAAACGAUGUCUGCUAGGUGUGACACAGGCUACGAGCCUGUGGUGUGCCGCAGGGAAGCCGUGAAGCAGACCGCCUGGGAAGUACGUCCGCAAGGAUGAAACUUAAAGGAAUUGGCGGGGGAGCACUACAACCGGAGGAGCAUGCGGUUUAAUUGGACUCAACG
rnacentral:rRNA from 1 species